AACGAACGCUGGCGGCAGGCUUAACACAUGCAAGUCGAACGCCCCGCAAGGGGAGUGGCAGACGGGUGAGUAACGCGUGGGAAUCUACCCAUCCCUACGGAACAACUCCGGGAAACUGGAGCUAAUACCGUAUACGCCCUUAGGGGGAAAGAUUUAUCGGGGAUGGAUGAGCCCGCGUUGGAUUAGCUAGUUGGUGGGGUAAAGGCCUACCAAGGCGACGAUCCAUAGCUGGUCUGAGAGGAUGAUCAGCCACAUUGGGACUGAGACACGGCCCAAACUCCUACGGGAGGCAGCAGUGGGGAAUAUUGGACAAUGGGCGCAAGCCUGAUCCAGCCAUGCCGCGUGAGUGAUGAAGGCCUUAGGGUUGUAAAGCUCUUUCACCGGAGAAGAUAAUGACGGUAUCCGGAGAAGAAGCCCCGGCUAACUUCGUGCCAGCAGCCGCCGUAAGAC
rnacentral:rRNA from 1 species